rnacentral:rRNA from 1 species
AUUGAACGCUGGCGGCAUGCCUUACACAUGCAAGUCGAACGGCAGCACGGGAGCAAUCCUGGUGGCGAGUGGCGAACGGGUGAGUAAUAUAUCGGAACGUGCCCAGUAGUGGGGGAUAACUGCUCGAAAGAGCAGCUAAUACCGCAUACGACCUGAGGGUGAAAGCGGGGGAUCGCAAGACCUCGCGCUAUUGGAGCGGCCGAUAUCAGAUUAGCUAGUUGGUGAGGUAAGGGCUCACCAAGGCGACGAUCUGUAGCUGGUCUGAGAGGACGACCAGCCACACUGGGACUGAGACACGGCCCAGACUCCUACGGGAGGCAGCAGUGGGGAAUUUUGGACAAUGGGCGCAAGCCUGAUCCAGCCAUGCCGCGUGCGGGAAGAAGGCCUUCGGGUUGUAAACCGCUUUUGUCAGGGAAGAAACGGCUCCUACUAAUACUGGGGGCUAAUGACGGUACCUGAAGAAUAAGCACCGGCUAACUACGUGCCAGCAGCCGCAGUAA